CCUACGGGAGGCAGCAGUAGGGAAUCUUCCACAAUGGGCGAAAGCCUGAUGGAGCAACGCCGCGUGGGUGAAGAAGGUCUUCGGAUCGUAAAACCCUGUUGUUAGAGAAGAAAGUGCGUGAGAGUAACUGUUAACGUAUCGACGGUAUCUAACCAGAAAGCAACGGCUAACUACGUGCCAGCAGCCGCGGUAAUACGUAGGUGGCAAGCGUUAUCCGGAUUUAUUGGGCGUAAAGGGAACGCAGGCGGUCUUUUAAGUCUGAUGUGAAAGCCUUCGGCUUAACCGGAGUAGUGCAUUGGAAACUGGGAGACUGGAGUGCAGAAGAGGAGAGUGGAACUCCAGGUGUAGCGGUGAAAUGCGGAGAUAUAUGGAAGAACACCAGUGGCGAAAGCGGCUCUCUGGUCUGUAACUGACGCUGAGGUUCGAAAGCGUGGGUAGCAAACAGGAUUAGAUACCCUUGUAGUC
rnacentral:rRNA from 1 species